UGGGGAAUAUUGCACAAUGGGGGAAACCCUGAUGCAGCGACGCCGCGUGAACGAAGAAGGAAUUCGUAUCGUAAAGUUCUGUCCUAUGGGAAGAUAAUGACAGUACCAUAGAAGAAAGCUCCGGCUAAAUACGUGCCAGCAGCCGCGGUAAUACGUAUGGAGCGAGCGUUGUCCGGAAUUAUUGGGCGUAAAGGGUACGCAGGCGGUUUAAUAAGUCGAAUGUUAAAGAUCGGGGCUCAACCCCGUAAAGCAUUGGAAACUGAUAAACUUGAGUAGUGGAGAGGAAAGUGGAAUUCCUAGUGUAGUGGUGAAAUACGUAGAUAUUAGGAGGAAUACCAGUAGCGAAGGCGACUUUCUGGACACAAACUGACGCUGAGGUACGAAAGCGUGGGGAGCAAACAGG
rnacentral:rRNA from 1 species